UGGGGAAUAUUGCACAAUGGGCGCAAGCCUGAUGCAGCCAUGCCGCGUGUAUGAAGAAGGCCUUCGGGUUGUAAAGUACUUUCAGCGGGGAGGAAGGGAGUAAAGUUAAUACCUUUGCUCAUUGACGUUACCCGCAGAAGAAGCACCGGCUAACUCCGUGCCAGCAGCCGCGGUAAUACGGAGGGUGCAAGCGUUAAUCGGAAUUACUGUGCGUAAAGCGCACGCAGGCGGUCUGUCAAGUCGGAUGUGAAAUCCCCGGGCUCAACCUGGGAACUGCAUUCGAAACUGGCAGGCUAGAGUCUUGUAGAGGGGGGUAGAAUUCCAGGUGUAGCGGUGAAAUGCGUAGAGAUCUGGGGGAAUACCGGUGGCGAAGGCGGCCCCCUGGACAAAGACUGACGCUCAGGUGCGAAAGCGUGGGGAGCAAACAGG
rnacentral:rRNA from 1 species